GACGAACGCUGGCGGCGUGCUUAACACAUGCAAGUCGAGCGGAGCGGCGAACGGGUGAGUAACGCGUGAGUAACUGCCCCCCUCUCUGGGAUAACAGUUGGAAACGGCUGCUAAUACCGGAUAGAGGGGGCGGAGUCGCGUCCUAUGGGCUUGUUGGUGGGGUAGUGGCCUACAAAGGGGACGGCGGGCAGCCGGCCUGAGGGGGCGACCGGCCACAUUGUGCUUGGUGACGGGCCAUACGGCAACGGGGGGCAGCGGGGGAAAGUAUUGCACAAAGGGGGAAGCCCUGAUACAGCGACGCCGGGUGGGGGAUGACGGCCUUCGAGGUGUAAACCGCUUUCGGCCAUGACGCGGUAGUGACAGAAGAAGCACCGGCUAACUACGUGCCAGCAGCCGCGGUAAUUC
rnacentral:rRNA from 1 species